rnacentral:tRNA from 1 species
GCCUGGGUGGCUCAGUCAGUUAAGCAUUUGACUUUCGCUCAGGUUAUGAUCUCAUGGUUCGUGGGUUUGAACCCCAUGCUGGGCU